GGAAGUUCGAUCCUUGCGCGGCCGCGGGUGGAAUCGUGGUUCGAGAGUACGUAUUAAACUUUAUCGUAUCUCAUUUACGAGAGUGGUAAUUAAAAAUGUUUAGCGGAGCGUUCAAUGCGCGGAAAUGGAGGAUCGCGUCCUUGGAAGGGAGUCGAGGUUCACGCAGUAUCGAAGGAAUCGCCCGUCGUGCACCGGUCGUCCGCAGGAUAAAAUGACGUUACUGAAGGCGAUGAUCUUAGGCUGAGAGCCGCACUUGAAGCUUGUAUUCUCGAGGACAACACUCGACGGGCAGAAAUCCCGGAUGCACACAACUGAGAACCAUUGCCCUUAAUUCUGCAGUCUCUGAGAGCUUUGACGCCAAUAGAAACUUUGAAGAAUAAACAGCUUCCAAGGGGAGACGCAACUUUACACAUCAUAACACACACACACACACACACACACACUUUAAUACAGAAAUAAUGCGCUUUCUCUCUCCUUCCUAAUGCCUUGCUCUCCCUUUCUAUCUUUUUGUUAUAUUUUAUGUAUAAUAUAAUAAAUAUAUUUUUUAAUCACAAA